GAUCAUGGCUCAGAUUGAACGCUGGCGGCGUGCUUAACACAUGCAAGUCGCGCGUGAAAGGACUUCGGUCCGAGUAAAGCGGCGCACGGGUGAGUAACGCGUGGAUGAUCUACCCAUGAGUUAGGAAUAACGGCUGGAAACGGUCGCUAAUACCAAAUACGCUCCGAUUUCAACUUCGGGGGAAAGGUGGCCUCUGCUUGCAAGCUACUGCUCAUGGAUGAGUCCGCGUCCCAUUAGCUAGUUGGUGGGGUAACGGCCCACCAAGGCGACGAUGGGUAGCCGGUCUGAGAGGAUGACCGGCCACACUGGGACUGGAACACGGCCCAGACUCCUACGGGAGGCAGCAGUGGGGAAUAUUGCGCAAUGGGCGAAAGCCUGGCGCAGCGACGCCGCGUGAGGGAAUGAAGGUCCUCGGAUCGUAAACCUCUGUCAGGAGGGAAGAACCGCCACGGUGCUAAUCAGCCGUGGUCUGACGGUACCUCCAAAGGAAGCACCGGCUAACUCCGUGCCAGCCGCCGC
rnacentral:rRNA from 1 species